AAAUUUCAUACGCCCGACGAAUUUGGGUAACUCCCAUAUAAGUACAUGUUUUUUACUUGUGUGGUGAAAAAUGUCGACUGAGUACGUCGAAUUUUAGGAAUUAAAUUUUUCUAAAGUUUUUGAACUUUGGUUGAUUUGAAUUGAGUUAGGGCCCAUGCGAUUUCGUGUAGUACGGCCGUACAAAAUACUUCGUUAUGGGGAGAAGCUGGAUAUUUGUGUAUACAACACAACUACUUUGAUUUGUAUGAAUUACGAUACAGUUUGUGUAAAUAUUGGCCGAAGCCUGUGUUACCACAAGUCCAUAUGAACAUACAGAUAACCUGAAGAUCUGCUCUAAGGUUUUAUCAUCCUCCCCGCAAGUUCUGAGAGUAGUAAAGUCCAUUUUAUCUUCCAUAAAAAAGUUUUUUAAGAUAUUUCCUCCAAAAGACCUGAAUUAGACACAUUUUUAUAACCUCCUCCAUGGAAAGGAGGGUAUACUAAAUUUGCCAUACCGUUUGUAAUACCUCUAUACAAUCAUGAUCGAAGUUGAUUUAAUGAUGUCCACCCGUCUGUCUAUUGAAAUCAUGAUUUUGAGAUUUGAUGAAGAGUUUCGAAAAUUGGCACAACAUUUUAUUGUGUCUAGGAUGUUUGGUAUUGAAAUCCAUAAUCUCCAUAAUCAAUAAAGCUGUGAAGCUGGAAUCCUUUAUUAGUCCUGCCCAUACCUAUAAAGGCCAAAAUUUGUUUAAAUUUCUAUUUUUAGCGUUAAGCAUUUGGAAUCUAAUAAUAUGGAAAUAUUUUAUAUCAAAUCAAUAAAGAACCAUUUGUUAUUA